rnacentral:rRNA from 1 species
UGUUUGAUGUUCUAACGUUGGCCCGUAAUCCGGGUUGCGGACAGUGUCUGGUGGGUAGUUUGACUGGGGCGGUCUCCUCCUAAAGAGUAACGGAGGAGCACGAAGGUUGGCUAAUCCUGGUCGGACAUCAGGAGGUUAGUGCAAUGGCAUAAGCCAGCUUGACUGCGAGCGUGACGGCGCGAGCAGGUGCGAAAGCAGGUCAUAGUGAUCCGGUGGUUCUGAAUGGAAGGGCCAUCGCUCAACGGAUAAAAGGUACUCCGGGGAUAACAGGCUGAUACCGCCCAAGAGUUCAUAUCGACGGCGGUGUUUGGCACCUCGAUGUCGGCUCAUCACAUCCUGGGGCUGAAGUAGGUCCCAAGGGUAUGGCUGUUCGCCAUUUAAAGUGGUACGCGAGCUGGGUUUAGAACGUCGUGAGACAGUUCGGUCCCUAUCUGCCGUGGGCGCUGGAGAACUGAGGGGGGCUGCUCCUAGUACGAGAGGACCGGAGUGGACGCAUCACUGGUGUUCGGGUUGUCAUGCCAAUGGCACUGCCCGGUAGCUAAAUGCGGAAGAGAUAAGUGCUGAAAGCAUCUAAGCACGAAACUUGCCCCGAGAUGAGUUCUCCCUGAGACUUAGAGUCUCCUGAAGGAACGUUGAAGACGACGACGUUGAUAGGCCGGGUGUGUAAGCGCAGCGAUGCGUUGAGCUAACCGGUACUAAUGAACCGUGAGGCUUAACCUUACAACGCCGAAG